rnacentral:rRNA from 1 species
AGUGAACGCUGGCGGUAGGCCUAACACAUGCAAGUCGAACGGCAGCACAGUAAGAGCUUGCUCUUACGGGUGGCGAGUGGCGGACGGGUGAGGAAUACAUCGGAAUCUACUUUUUCGUGGGGGCUAACGUAGGGAAACUUACGCUAAUACCGCAUACGACCUACGGGUGAAAGCAGGGGAUCUUCGGACCUUGCGCGAUUGAAUGAGCCGAUGUCGGAUUAGCUAGUUGGCGGGAUAAAGGCCCACCAAGGCGACGAUCCGUAGCUGGUCUGAGAGGAUGAUCAGCCACACUGGAACUGAGACACGGCCCAGACUCCUAAGCGAGGCAGCAGUGGGGAAUAUUGGACAAUGGGGGCAAGCCUGAUCCAGCCAUACCGCGUGGGUGAAGAAGGCCUUCGGGUUGGAAAGCCCUUUUGUUGGGAAAGAAAAGCAGCAGGUUAAUACCCCGCUGUUCUGACGGUACCCAAAGAAUAAGCACCGGCUAACUUCGUG